UCCUUGGUGGCUCAGAUGGUAAAGCCUCUGCCUGCAAUGCAAGAUACCCGGGUUCAAUUCCUGGAUCAGGAA
rnacentral:tRNA from 1 species